rnacentral:rRNA from 1 species
UACGUAGGGGGCAAGCGUUGUCCGGAAUCAUUGGGCGUAAAGAGCGUGUAGGCGGCCCGAUAAGUCCGCCGUGAAAACCCGGGGCUCAACCCCGGGCCUGCAGUCGAUACGGGCAGACUAGAGUGCGGUAGGGGAGACUGGAAUUCCUGGUGUAGCGGUGAAAUGCGCAGAUAUCAGGAGGAACACCGGUGGCGAAGGCGGGUCUCUGGGCCGUAACUGACGCUGAGGAGCGAAAGCGUGGGGAGCGAACAGG